GUUAUGCACUUCGGAUCAUUAAAUCGAAACGAAAGGGGUGCAGGCACACGAUGACAGUGUUUCCCCGUCGUUAUUAGACCCGUUUUGUUCGCCUGUUCAUUUCGUCUUCCCCGAAGGCCAUCAAUCGCCUCUCGUACAAAUCCGCGCCCAUGAACACCUCCGGCCGCCUGACCUUAACGAUUACGUCGCCGACGAAUUGUGCCAUUAUGGUAAUUGUGUUUUUCCCUCGGCAACGUUCACUUCGUUACGGUGUCUCUGACAACGCGUCAUGGUACACACUCGCCUUUAUUCGGGCGCCGAGUUUGUGUCUUGAUGUUUGCCCGGUCAAUCGCAUAUAACGAGGCGUGUGAAGAUUUGGUUCCAAAAUCGACGGACCAAGUGGAAAAAGCAUGACACGGUGACAACAUCAGAACAGUCAGACCCGUCAACAAUUACUGCCACCUCAGUGGGCUCCAAAAAUUCGCCCAAGUCGACUACAGGGGCCAAGUUCCUUAGUGAAGGUGAUGAUCACUCAUCGUUGGAAGAUUCGGAGAGCUGUUAUAGUGGCGUGGACGUUGCUGAGUCUAAAGUAGUGAUUGCUAGGACGCCGGAAUCACUACCUCCCACAUCGCCGCCCGACAAUGACACCACUGCGCGGGCUCCCAGUUAAGCGAUUGAUUUCUACAUCACUUAACUUUUACGACCUAAUUAGUCGAUGAAAAGAAAAUGCAUAAUUAGAUGGAAAUGAAGUUACAUUAAUUUUGUUAGUUGUUUUUUUUUUUUUUUUUUUUUAUAUCAUU